GGUCCCCCGGCCAGGCCGCGCCCGGGUCGCCGCGCGUCCCCCGUCCCGAACGAGCGGGGCACGGGUGUCACGCGCGGUCCCGCCCAGCCGGCCCGGCCCCUCGCGCGGGAGCGUCUGAUGCAACGCGCGCCCCGCGACGCCGGCCCGCGCCCCGCGUGGACCCCGCGCCCACCCCGCGCGUCCCGACCGGGAACGGGAACGGCAGCGAGGCGCCGCCAACUUUCCGGCCGCUCUGCUCGGGCGGCGCGGGUUCGGGAUUGUUUAGAAAGUAGGGGAGCCACAGCUUUGGAGCUGAUGCCAAGAGCAUAGACACAGGCACACGGAGUGACAGCCCAGUGAGCAUCAAGGUGCCCUGCGAAGCCUUGGUGACUGCCUUGGUAGCCAGGCCUCCGAGCCGACGGUGAGGG
rnacentral:lncRNA from 1 species